rnacentral:rRNA from 1 species
GGGUUGUGAGGUUAAGCGACUAAGCGUACACGGUGGAUGCCCUGGCAGUCAGAGGCGAUGAAGGACGUGCUAAUCUGCGAUAAGCGUCGGUAAGGUGAUAUGAACCGUUAUAACCGGCGAUUUCCGAAUGGGGAAACCCAGUGUGUUUCGACACACUAUCAUUAACUGAAUCCAUAGGUUAAUGAGGCGAACCGGGGGAACUGAAACAUCUAAGUACCCCGAGGAAAAGAAAUCAACCGAGAUUCCCCCAGUAGCGGCGAGCGAACGGGGAGGAGCCCAGAGCCUGAAUCAGUGUGUGUGUUAGUGGAAGCGUCUGGAAAGGCGCGCGAUACAGGGUGACAGCCCCGUACACAAAAAUGCACAUGCUGUGAGCUCGAUGAGUAGGGCGGGACACGUGGUAUCCUGUCUGAAUAUGGGGGGACCAUCCUCCAAGGCUAAAUACUCCUGACUGACCGAUAGUGAACCAGUACCGUGAGGGAAAGGCGAAAAGAACCCCGGCGAGGGGAGUGAAAAAGAACCUGAAACCGUGUACGUACAAGCAGUGGGAGC